rnacentral:lncRNA from 1 species
AAAAUUUAGUUCAAUUGGAUCUAAAUAUUAAUUUAACUCUAUUUGAAGAGAUAAAUGUCAAUUUAAGAUUGUGGCUACCAUAGUAACCAUUUAUAUGACCCUAAGCAAAAAAAAAAAAAUCGCCAAAAAUAUGUAUUUUAUAGCUUCUGCAUACAAAUAUUUACUCCGGUAUUCUUUCAAAAAGCAUAUCUCAAACAAAAGGGUGUUGUGAAGGUUACCAUGUCAGUAAAGAUUAAGACUUUGUCAACUCUCAAGAGUCUGUAAAUAACAGUUUAACAUAACAUGGUAAGUGGUAAAAUUAUGAAAAUUUUAAGUGUAAAUUUAGACAGAACCUGUGAAAAUGCAUACAUCGUGCACCUCACUUCACUUCAACUUUGAAAUAAUAUACUACAGCCUUGCACUGGUGUUAAAACACUAUGCAAACAAAACACAAGUCAAUGUCUGCUGCUAUGGUAAAUGGAAAUCCAAAUCUCACUAUUAACUUAUAAAAGCAAGAACAA